rnacentral:rRNA from 1 species
CUUGGUCAUUUAGAGGAAGUAAAAGUCGUAACAAGGUUUCCGUAGGUGAACCUGCGGAAGGAUCAUUCACAAACGAGUGUUUUAUGGCACUCUUUAAAAAUCCAUAUCCACCUUGUGUGCAAUGUUUGUUGGGAAAGUCUUUUCUUUCCCUUCAUAAAUAUCAACCUAUAUCUUUAACAACAUUCGUCUGAUAACAUAUUAUGAAUAUACUUAAUUCAAAAUAUAACUUUCAACAACGGAUCUCUUGGCUCUCGCAUCGAUGAAGAACGCAGCGAAAUGCGAUUCGUAAUGUGAAUUGCAGAAUUCAGUGAAUCAUCGAAUCUUUGAACGCAUAUUGCGCUCUUUGGUAUUCCGAAGAGCAUGCUUGUUUGAGUAUCAGUAAACACCUCAACCUCUCUUUUUGACAAAAAAAGGGAGGGUGGACUUGAGCUAUCCCAACGACCUUCACCGGUAGGCGGGCGGCUUGAAAUGCAGGUGCAGCUGGACUUUUAUCUGAGCUAAAAGCAUAUCUAUUUAGUCCUCGUCAAACAGGAUUAUUACUCUUGCUGCAGCUAACAUAAAGGAUAAUUGUCCUCUUUGCUGACUGAUGCAGGAUUUUACGACACUUUAUGUGUUGUUCAACUCGAUCUCAAAUCAAGUAAGACUACCCGCUGAACUUAAGCAUAUCAAUAAGCGGAGGA